GAUUAAGAACGCAGCGAAAUGCGAUAAGUAAUGUGAAUUGCAGAAUUCAGUGAAUCAUCGAAUCUUUGAACGCACAUUGCGCCCGCCAGUAUUCUGGCGGGCAUGCCUGUCUGAGCGUCAUUUCAACCCUCAAGCAACUUCUGCUUGGUGUUGGGGAUCGGCCGUCAAACGCCGCCCCCGAAAUCUAUUGGCGAUCUCGCUGUAGCUUCCUAUGCGUAGUAGUAACAUCUCGCAUCUGGAGAGCGGCGCGGUCAUGCCGUAAAACACCCAACUUCUCAGGUUGACCUCAGAUCAGGUAGGAAUACCCGCUGAACUUAAGCAUAUCAAUAAGCGGAGGA
rnacentral:misc_RNA from 1 species